rnacentral:rRNA from 1 species
AGACCGGCUUACUGGUCGUGCUAUUGUACGUACUGGUAUAAUCGGUUUCUCCUUUCUGACGAACUAUAAUGCCAUUAAUUUGGUGUUUUAGGGAAUCAGGACUGUUACUUUGAAAAAAUUAGAGUGUUUAAAGCAGGCUCACGCUUGAAUACAUUAGCAUGGAAUAACGGAAUAGGACGUUUGAUUCUAUUUUGUUGGUUUCUAGGAUCGACGUAAU